rnacentral:tRNA from 1 species
GCCGCCGUAGCUCAGGGGCAGAGCGCGCCCUUGGUAAGGGCGAGGUCCACAGUUCAAUUCUGUGCGGCGGCA